UAAAAGUGAAGACCAGACCUCACUAUAAAAUAACGGGGCAACACCUGAAAAGCCAAAAGAGUAAGAAAAUU
rfam:Flavobacterium segetis strain DSM 19741 genome assembly, contig: Ga0131139_108